rnacentral:rRNA from 1 species
CAGCACCUCAAGUGGUCAGGAUGAUUAUUGGGCCUAAAGCAUCCGUAGCCGGCGCUGUAAGUUUUCGGUUAAAUCUGUACGCUCGACGUACAGGCUGCCGGGAAUACUGCAGCGCUAGGGAGUGGGAGAGGUAGACGGUACUCGGUAGGAAGGGGUAAAAUCCUUUGAUCUAUUGAUGACCACCUGCGGCGAAGGCGGUCUACCAGAACACGUCCGACGGUGAGGGAUGAAAGCUGGGGGAGCAAACCGGAUUAGAUACCCGAGUAGUCC